GUGCGGCCCGGCCCUCUACCCCUGCACGACUGAGUGGCCGUCUGAUACAGCUUUGCCUCAGUGUCCAGGGCUGGUGCCGGGUCCGGCAAGCAGUGCCUUGCUCAGCCAGUGAAUGGCAGAUUAACCAUUUUGAGGGAACCAGGGAGCGAAGAGAUUUUUUGUUAUUGUUAUAAACGAUGCUUCACGGAGCAUUUUUCUGUCUGUGCGAUACGAGGGUGUCCCGAGUGUGUUCUUCCUGCCUCCAUGCCACUCUCAACUCCGCUCGCUCUGAUUGGGUCAUGUGACCCAAGCCGCCCCGCCUUCCCCACAGCCAAUUGGAUAAGGGUGGUCACCUGACCACCUGGCCCCAAGCCAUAGGCUGGAUUAAACCAAUCAGAUUCUCUCUUGAGAUUUGAACCGGAAAGGUCGUGGCCAGACAUUAACAAGGUGGGAUGCUGGACCCAGGGGCUGAGCCAGAUUCGGGCUGGGCGUAGUGGCAGCGUGUGGAAGCAGUUGUUCCUUAGGAUGGAAGUCCCUGCUUCCUUGACAUCUGUGGGUCCUGGGUUGUGGACAUCAGACCCGGGGGAGUUACUGAGCAACCGGGCCACCUUUCUGAAGGCUCAGCCCUCCGUGGGAGGCUGAUGAAGAAACUGAGGCACGGAGAGCCCAAGCAAGCUGCCCAAGGCUGUUGAAGGGAAGACUUGCCUACCUGGACAUACUCUGCCUCUCCACCUGGUCCAGUUCUGUGUUCUAAUAAGACCCCAAAUGCUAGGUCACUUCAUUUGCCUGUUAUGUCUUUCUGCGCAGCCAUCCAGAGAAAGCUUCCAGGGCAAGCUCCUCUUUAUGUCGCUCUUGUGGCCAAGGGAAGUCCCACCCAGAGCAGACCGUAAGGCUGAAUCUUGGGAGCCAGAUCUUAAGAGAGGAGAAAGAAAAGGAACUGUGCCGGAUGAACUUGACAAAGAGCCACAGCAGAGAUACAGUCACGGGUGGACCAGCCUGUGGAACCCACAGCAGCAGGAGGAGAGAGA